GAUCCUCUAUAAAUACUGAAUAUCUCAUUUUUUUGGAGCUAAAUAUUCCAAACUCCCAAAAAGGCAAAUAAGUCUCCCAAUAAAGAAACCAGAUUUGCAGGUUAGGCAGUUUCUAUAACCUAAAAAGGAGAAAUCAUGUCUCGUGACCAUCUAGAAACAUUCAAAUUCGAUCAAACCACCCCCAUUACACUCACAUCAACAUUCCAAUCAAAAUUGUCAAGAAACUGGGGAGAGAUGGAUCAACAUUGUAACAUUUGGCGUGAAUGGUAAAAGAUCUACACUAGUUGUAGCGUAGGAUACAUGACAUUUUUGUAGUAGUUCGAACCAACGCCUUCAUGUUUUGGAGUUUAUUUUUCCUAUAAAAGGCAUUUUUCCAAUCAUUUCAGUAGAGCUAGAUCUGACAUUAGACUCACAUCGAUGUUCUUAUCAAAAUUAUCAAGAAACAGGGAAGAGAUGGAUGAACACCAUAAUAUGUGGCCCGAAAGGUAAAAGAUCUACUCAACAAGAUGUAGUGUGGGAUACAGGCAUUUUUGUAUUGGUUUGGACCACAACCUUCAAGUUUUGGAGUUUAUUUUGCCGAUAAAAGUGUCAUUUUAGAAGAGCUAGAUUCGAACAAAAACUCUAGACCUAAUUCCAAUCAUAGAAAUCUUGUAGCCGUCAAACCCUAGCCUUAGGCCAUUCAAACCCUAGUUGUGUGACUCGGCUCUAGCCAACUUCAGAGACCAAAAUUAACGUCUUCGACAAUUCCUAGGCAUCUCUCUUUAUCCCUGGAGUUAAUCAGAUUAUCAGGUGCGAAGAUCAAGGAGUUUGGAUUUCUCUUUACCAUCUGGCUUCCAGGGUCUUAGACAUGGUCUCAGAUUUGUAUGCAUACAGGUGUCUGGUGCCCAUUGUCCAGCUUAGAUUUACUGUGAAAUCCAGUUAUAAAUACAUCAUUUUCGGCUCUAUAGGGUCACUGGUUAUGCAACCACCUUGUAGAGGCCCUCUGAGAAAUCAGGAAAUGUCCCAGCGCACUCCAAGGAUUUGAUCAUUGUACUAUCGGAGGUAGAGAUCCCUUUCGAAUGCUUUGCAUACCUUACAAGGAUUUAAUAAUUGUACAAUCGGAGGUGGAGAUCUUUUGUGGGUGCGGUUAAGUCUCAAAAGGGUGAUCCCAGGCAUUUUCUUUGUAUCUUUGGCUUCACCAUUGUUGAUAUCUUGGCUUCACACCUGGUAAAUGUUUGUUUUAUAAGCAGAAAAGUGCAUUGAAUUCUUACGAGAUGUAAUUUUUAAGUAUUUGAUGUACUUUUGUAGUUCUCAAUGAAGCAGUGCAAAUUUUUUCUAAA